CUCGCAUCCUGCAUAAACAAUUGUAUUAAUUAGUUAGCAUCAUUCAACUUAUUAUACAUAAUACAGAUGAAAUUUUCUAAUAGUUAGAAUUUAUACUUCAGGUUUAGAAAUAUAAAUUCAUUAAGAGAAAUACCUAAUUCUAAUUAGUAUCACUAUCAUAUACAUCAUCGCAUUCCUCAUCACUUUCUGAGUCCAAUUCAAGCUCUUCUUCAUCUUCAACAUCCUCUUCAUUAAUUUCAACUAGUACACCGUUUUGAUCAUUCAAGUAUUGUUGUUGAUCAUCAUCAUCGUCAAUUUGAAUCAAAGGGACUUCCAUUUCAUCUUCUUGAAAUGGUUCUUCCCGUGCAGGGGGGGUUGUGACAUUCACUUGCUCAGGAAGAUCAAUAACAGAUCUCGCUUUGAUUUUGAACACAGCCCACCAAUCAUCCUUGUCACGUUUUAAGCUUGGAUAUAUGGAAUAAUUCACCUGAGCAGCUUGGAUAGCAAGAACAAAUGGUUCAUACCUAUUGAAGGAUCUUUUAUGAUUAAUAUCCACAAGUUUAUAUUUUGGAUGAAUCUUUGUUCCCACAUUUGGUGUUGGAUCAAACCAAUCACAUUUAAACAAUACAGUUCUUUUGAUUGGUAAUCCAGGGUACUCCAAUCGUAGCACUUCAAUUAAUUGUCCAUAGUAGUCACUUUCAUUAGUACUGUAAUUAGUCCCCUUGAUACAUACCCCACUGUUCAUCGUUGCCCUAUGCGAACCAUAACCUUUAGUGUGAAAUUUAUAACCAUUAACUACAUAACUAUUGUAGCACAUAACACUUCUUAAUGGACCCUUUGAUAGAUCCUUUAAAAACUGGCUUGAUAUAUUGUUGGAGGGAUUGUGAACAUAUUUAUUGAACCACUUAUCAAAUUCACGCUCUAGUUUCUCAUCAACUUGUUUAUCAUUGAUAUUUGGAUUGGCCAUGUGUAACUCAUUAACAAAAAUGCUGCACACAAUGAAAAUAGUUAAUUACAUGUUUGGAAUCAAUAAUGGCAUUGCAACAAUUAUAAUAAUUGAAUAUUAGAAAAACUUACUCAAUGUACGGUUUUACUUCUAUACAAUUCAACAAGAUGUACAUUUGUGCUGCUUGAAAUUCUUGUUCUGUGAGAUAUCUAACCUUUCCUUUUCCCAGUGGCCUACCGGAAUGAGUGAAAAUUGAUAGAUUCCCUAGAUGUUCAUCCAUAUGUUCGACUGUAUCAUCAUUGCGUGGAACCUUUCGAUGCCUUGUGUUGACAUGGGGUUCAAAAUAAUGAGCGCAGAAUGACGAUGCUUCUUCAACUAAGUAUGCAUUGCAUAUGGAACCUUCCACUUUGGCUUUAUUUUUCACAUUAUUUUUUAACUUCCUAAGGUACCUCUCAAAUGGAUACAUCCACCGAUAUUGCACAGGACCAGCAAUCCAUGCUUCAUAAGCCAAAUGCACUGGGAGAUGUUCCAUGGAGUCAAAGAAACUUGGAGGGAAUAUACGCUCUAGUUUACAUAAUAUAAUAGGAAUCUCUUCAUUGAGCUGUAACAUGGCUUCUUCUCUAAGUGUUGUUGAAGUUAACUCUCUAAAGAAAUUGCUCAAUUCGGUCAAUGCUUGCCACACAUUUUUUGGAAGCAAUUCCCUAAAUGCUAUUGGGAGUAAUCUUUGCAUAAAGACAUGACAAUCAUGGCUUUUCAUCCCAAACAACUUUAGUUUUCUCAUGUCUAUACACCUACCCAUGUUUGACACAUAACCAUCUGGGAAUCUAAGAUUUUUAAGCCAUUCACACAACACUGCUUUUGAUUGUUUGUCUAAUGUGUAACAUGCUUUAGGAUACUUUCCUGUUGCCAUAUCCCUCUCUAACUCAGGUCGGUGACAAAACUCUUUCAAAUCUUCUCUUGAUUUUGCAUUGUCCUUCGUCUUCCCUUCAACAUUCAUCACAGUAUUAAAAAUAUUUUCAAAUACAUUUUUCUCUAUAUGCAUGACAUCCAAGUUGUGGCGAAGCAUGUUAGUACUCCAAUAUGGCAAAUCCCAAAAAAUGCUCCGUCUCUUCCAACCCGUGUUUUUUGCUUUGCAACUGUUAUUCUCAUCUGCACCCAUAUCUGUGACACACAUUAAUCCUAGAUGUUCUAUUUGUUCUAAAAUUUCCUCACCAGAUAGAAUGGGGGGAGCACUUUUUGUAACUGUCUUGUUCUUUCUAAAAGCAAUUUUAUUCCGUCUGAAAGGAUGGUUAGCUGGUAAGAAUUUACGGUGAUUGUCAAACCAUGAUUGUUUACCACCCUUUGUCAAUGUGAAUGCAUCUGAAUCGUCCCUACAAUAUGGACAAGCAGUCUUGCCUGCUGUGCUCCAACCGGAUAACAUUGAAUAUGCAGGGAAAUCACUUAUUGUCCAUAAUAACGCAACCCUCAUAUUAAAAUUAUUCUUCUUUGAUGCAUCAUAUGUCUCAACUCCAACUUCCCAUAACUAUUUCAACUUUGCAAUAAGGGGUUAUAAGUACACAUCCAAUUUGUCUUU
rnacentral:misc_RNA from 1 species